rnacentral:rRNA from 1 species
AUACGGAGGAUCCGAGCGUUAUCCGGAUUUAUUGGGUUUAAAGGGUGCGCAGGCGGCCAUUUAAGUCAGCGGUUAAAUCGUGGGGCUCAACCCCAUUCUGCCGUUGAUACUGGGUGGCUUGAUUGAGGUCGAGGUUGGCGGAAUUCGUUGUGUAGCGGUGAAAUGCAUAGAUAUGACGAAGAACACCGAUUGCGUAGGCAGCUGACCAGAUCGCAAAUGACGCUCAUGCACGAAAGUGCGGGGAUCGAACAGGAUUAGAUGCCCUGGUAGUCCGCACAGUAAACGAUGAAUACUUGUUUUCGGCGAUAUAAUGUCGGAGGCAAAGCGAAAGCGAUAAGUAUUCCACCUGGGGAGUACGCCGGCAACGGUGAAACUCAAAGGAAUUGACGGGG